UACGAAGGGUGCAAGCGUUGUCCGGAAUUAUUGGGCGUAAAGAGAACGUAGGUGGUUUUGUAAGUUUGGUCUUAAAGACCGGGGCUUAACUCCGGGAAUGGAUCGAAAACUGCAAGACUAGAGGAUGUCAGAGGAAAGUGGAAUUCCGAGUGUAGCGGUGAAAUGCGUAGAUAUUCGGAGGAACACCAGUGGCGAAAGCGACUUUCUGGGGCAUUCCUGACACUGAGGUUCGAAAGCUCGGGGAGCAAACAGG
rnacentral:rRNA from 1 species